rnacentral:rRNA from 1 species
AUGAAAGGAAUGAGACAGAAAUUUAGUGUACUAGUAGUUUCCUUUUUGAAGGUUUCAGCUAGAGAGGAAGUUUAUGCAAUCAUCUUCAUCAAUGGCGCGCUGUCACCUCAUCUGCUUGGCCUUGGCACUGGUAGUCCUCAUCGCCUCGACCGUGUGGCUCGUAGCUCAGUGCAAGCACCCGACGCCGCAGCGCUACUACGCCGCCGUCGACUCAGCAGAGGGCGGUGGCCGCCCAACCUAGAGUUCACCCUGUCCCUCGGCGUGCAGUCGCAGAGCCCGCUGUGGGGCCGCAUGUGCCUGGAGCGCGGCACCGCGGUGACGGUGGCCUACCACGGCGUCCCGCUCGAGCACGGCGCCCUUGGCCGGGAGGUCUGCGCCCAGCCGUGGAUGCCGUGGAAGGCGAGCUGGACGACGGUCGUAGCGCGGGCGAGCAAGGUGGAGCGCACGCAGCCGGGGUUCGUGGUGGACGGGCUCGCCGCUGACACGAGGCGCGGCGUGCUCGUAUUCGACGUGACGCUGCGGAUACCGGCGACGGGGCAUGUCGACGACGACGACGGCGAGAAGCUGGUGUCGUGCGUGGCAAGGCAGGUCGGGGACGCAUCGUCACCUGCAUGUGAUGUGCGCUUCGCUGGGACCUCCACCUUCCAGAGCUUUCGCCAACCGGAUUUCUCAGCGUCAGAAUUAGAUGAUCCUGCACAUUCAUCCAACCAUGCCUCUCUGCACCUCUUGGUAGCAACCCAUGCGAUUUCCCUGCCCCUCCCCAUGUUGCCCAAAUGUUUUCAACCAGUAGGAACGUCUGAUGCGGCCCAGUGGCAGCAGCGGUUUGCUCAGAAAAAUGGAAAAACAAAUUCCUGUCUUGGAGGCAUGUGUUGUACACCAAGUAGAGGUUUAUGUCGUGAGCAUCUUCUUGUACUCCUUGAACGUGCCCGGGAACGGGGCGACCUUGCCGUCCGUCACCGCCCAGAGCUCAUCCACACUCCCCGUGAUCAGAUGCUCGUCGUGACUCACCUGCAAAAGAGUACCAUUUGGUUAGGACGAUGCUAUACCUUGACACGAAAAGGAACAACAUGCAGCGUCGUGGCAAUGUGUCCUUACCAUCAGUACUCCUCCCUGGAAUAUGAGCAGGCCCUACUCUUGAAGCGCGCCCUCGACGCCGCCCCACUGCUCGCCACGCUGCAGCUUGACGGCGUAGACCUCUUGUUAAUGGAGACCCUCCAUGUCCGCUGCCCCAAGGUCACCACCCUCGGGCUGGCGAAUUUGUACAGCCGGGGCUAUCAAUGCCAGAACAUUAUGGAGCUCGACGCGCCGCAGCUGCAAUGCUUCGCCUACCAAGGCCCCCCUGCGGUCGCUGUCGUUCAAGUCACUGCCACCGGACAUGACACGGGUAGACUUGCGCUUCCAAGUUCCAGCUGCUCGACCAAAAACAGACGACAAGAUGUGCCAACUCUUCUGGAAGUUUGUUCAGAACUUCAGCGGUGCAAGCAUCAUCAACCUCAACUUUCAACGUCGUGGGGCAUGUUUGGUUUGGUGUUGCCGUUGCCACGUUAUGAGCUCUUGUUUAUCGACGGGUGUGUGCUGCACUCUUCGGGAAGACCGGCUAGAUAUUUCGCCUGGUCUCUCUGGAAGGAUCCCGUGAAAUCCCGUUCCACCGCUUGGUCGUUGUUUGGCCCUAUAAAAAUGCGUCACUCCGUGUGCGUCUUCCAUCUCGGAUGCGCCAUCAUCCCUGCUCCUUCACUCCUGACACCCCUUCCGUCGAACACAAUGCCGCUUGCAGGUCACGGGCCCGCGCGACUCCGCAGCAUCGUGAUCCUCCAGCGCGGGCGUGCCGCCGCCAUCAAGACGAACCGGUGCCGCCUUCGGUCGCUGGUGCGUUCCCUCGCUAAUAAGGUCGAUGGCUCCCUCCCCCGCACCGCUUCUUUCCUACUCAUCUUUCAAUUUUUCUCUAUCCUUGCAGUCACCGCAGGUAGUGGCAGCAUGUACGCAUCAGGAGCGGGCGCCUCUUCUUUCGUGCUCUCGCUAGAUCCUCCCAGCAGCAAGUCACCCUCUCCACCACGCCCUUUUCCUGCGGACUACGGGAGUCAAAUGCUAGCUGGCCCUUGA